rnacentral:piRNA from 1 species
UGUCAUGCCUCCGUGAUUGAGUAUGUGGGA